UUAUUUGAUAGUACCUUACUACUUGGAUAACCGUGGUAAUUCUAGAGCUAAUACAUGCUAAAAACCUCGACUUCGGAAGGGGUGUAUUUAUUAGAUAAAAAACCAAUGCCCUUCGGGCUCCUUGGUGAUUCAUGAUAACUUAACGAAUCGCAUGGCCUUGUGCGGCGAUGGUUCAUUCAAAUUUCUGCCCUAUCAACUUUCGAUGGUAGGAUAGUGGCCUACCAUGGUUUCAACGGGUAACGGGGAAUUAGGGUUCUAUCCGGAGAGGGAGCCUGAGAAACGGCUACCACAUCCAAGGAAGGCAGCAGGCGCGCAAAUUACCCAAUCCCGACACGGGGAGGUAGUGACAAUAAAUACUGAUACAGGGCUCUUUUGGGUCUUGUAAUUGGAAUGAGUACAAUUUAAAUCCCUUAACGAGGAACAAUUGGAGGSCAAGUCUGGUGCCAGCAGCCGCGGUAAUUCCAGCUCCAAUAGCGUAUAUUAAAGUUGUUGCAGUUAAAAAGCUCGUAGUUGAACCUUGGGCCUGGUUGGUCGGUCCGCCUCGGCGUGCACUGAUCCGACCGGGCCUUUCCUUCUGGGGAACCGCAUGUUCUUCAUUGAGUGUGUCGGGGAUCCAGGACUUUUACUUUGAAAAAAUUAGAGUGUUCAAAGCAGGCCUAUGCUCGAAUACAUUAGCAUGGAAUAAUAGAAUAGGACGUGUGGUUCUAUUUUGUUGGUUUCUAGGACCGCCGUAAUGAUUAAUAGGGAUAGUCGGGGGCAUCAGUAAUUCCGUUGUCAGAGGUGAAAUUCUUGGAUUUACGGAAGACUAACUACUGCGAAAGCAUUUGCCAAGGAUGUUUUCAUUAAUCAGUGAACGAAAGUUAGGGGAUCGAAGACGAUCAGAUACCGUCGUAGUCUUAACCAUAAACUAUGCCGACUAGGGAUCGGGCGAUGUUAUCUUUUUGACUCGCUCGGCACCUUACGAGAAAUCAAAGUUUUUGGGUUCUGGGGGGAGUA
rnacentral:rRNA from 1 species